UUUCACCACAUAGGGUGUGGUGUGACAUUUGCAUCAAACAAUAAUUUGUCAUCAAGGAAUGUCCCCAAGUGCUUGUGUUGUUGCAUAUGCAGCAGGCUCACGCCAACAACCUGUUGUACAGUGUACAACUGAGGUAUGCAGGUGUUUGUUCUUCCUGACAGAAUUUUAAAAAAGUCCUGGGAAUCGGAACUGUAAUGUCUGGGUCAGGUCGCUCUACGGCAGAGAGCAUUGCUUAUGAGGACACGUCUAUAACCACGGCCAGCCCUGCCAAAAUAGCAAAAGACGAGUCGGAAACAGGGCUUUUGCACUGUGUCUUGCCUCCUUUAAUGCAGUGCUUUAAAAAGGUAGAGAUGAAUAUCAUAAAGUUGUCUGUUUUUCACCAGAAAAACAGACAUCUUUCGCUCAAGCCUGCAAAAACAUCACGCCAGUGAAGCUGAGGAACGUGAAGCGAAGCAUUAGCUUCUCGGAUCCUGUAGUGUUUGACAUCCUAUGUGUGGUGGAGGGUGUGUACUGGUUCAAGGGUGGGGGUUGGCCGUCGCCACGGAGUGUCGGUCAGAACACAGGGAAACAGGGCACAUCUGAUCCUUUAAACUCGUUUAAUGGGUAUUGGCAUAGUCUUGACCACUUUGCAGGUUUGGAGGUAUUUGUGGGUAUGUGUAUGGUCUGAACAAAAGGCAGAUAUACAUAAUAUUAGUUAUACAGCAUUAUACAAUUAUAACUUUGUCACUAUACAGACACAUAACACUGGGCAAGCAACACAGCAAACUACACAGGGUUAUGAUAGGUACAAUCGUGCAAUCAGAAAUGGCAUAACUGACAUACUUCUAUACAAGACGGGGCGCAAUACAGUCACACAGCGUAAGCUUGCAUACUACACACCGAGACAUAUUUACAUUCACGUAGAGUUUAUGCGUAUUAAUCGUCUCUACGCGUUAUAAUAUUCAUUUCUCAACAUUACUGAUUAUGGUGGAUGUCUGAAAAUAUUACUCUAAGCGUAACAACAUCUAAACAAUUACGCUAACUGAAAACAACUUCGGGGGGCUAUCCCCGCUGUACUCGGUAGUAAGUGAGAAGUAACAUGGGUAACAACGACACAAGCUUACAGCACACGGUAACAGAGAACUUCGUAAGCAAUUGUACUUACUUUAAAUAAAUAAAUGUAAAUGUAAAUGUAAAGUCAUGAACGCACACAGGAAAAGGUGUAACACUUUACUAACUACACAAGGGUAACUUAAUGGCUUCUCACGAUUGCCAUUUGGUGUCCUGCUCUAACUUGUUUUCUCCCCUUUCGUCUUGCUGUUGUACGCUGUGCUCUGAUUGGCUGAUCGUCCAUAUGGCUUUACAUGGACAGGGAAGGGGCCGCCCUCAGUUAAAGGGGCCGCCCUCCUUUACACUAUGCAACAGAGCUACCAGCUUGGAGGUGGUCAAAGUUCCGUUUUUGCCAAAGGUCCCUCCCAGCAGUUCAAAACUGGACAAGGUCGGUGUCCUGGAAGCGAAAAUUCUGGUCCAGGGAACCCUGAGCAAAGUUGUCACCGUGAAUGGAACUGACUGCGAGCUCACAGAAUUCCAGAUAGGCGAUUCAACAGGACAGAUGAAACUUACUCUGUGGGACAAGCAGAUUGUUCAAGUGGGUGCUUUGAAGCCCUACAAGUUCACAAACCUAUCGACAAGAGAAAGGGAAGGACGAAUAUAUCUGUCGGGGAGUCCAUCCACUACCAGAAAUUCGUGGAAUUGAAGUGGCUGAUUGUAGUGAACUCGGUGAAGACGAGAAGCUUUCCGAAUUGUCAGGAACUGUUACCGGAAUACAGGUGAUCUGCAAACGUCGCUGUCCGAAAUGCCAGACACCGCAGGGCGAGUUCAAUGCCAAGUCAUCGGUCCACAGAUGUGAGUGCUGCAAACUGAUGCAGAAGUCAUGCUGCUACUCCACAACGUACAGAGGCACCAUGUCACUGACAAUCGACUGUACAGAUCACGCACUAUCACGAAUUCCGCAAUUAAUGCGUACGUCACCGAGUACAACAUGUGCCAUUUACUGAAUGCCGUGGAGGAUAUGGGGAGCACGUCCUUGAUGUUGCUGAGUUUAAUGUUCCUGUCAAUGAAGACAGCUUGAUUACGACUAUCAAGCAGCGUUUUGAAAAGAAAGAAUACACUUGUGCGGAGGAUGAUGGUGGUCUUGGAAACGCUGUUGAUGAAGUCUAGGUGUGAUUGCAAUUUUUGAGUGAGUUUUCAAAAGUAUGUUUAUUGCUUGUUAUAUAUUUCAGUAUGCGCAUUUAAAUUCUACAGUUGUUAUGUUUUAGCUGUUGAACUGUUUGACGUUUCCAGUGGUUCCAGUAUGAAAUACAUUCAUUUUA